UCAUUCAAUAUGGCUUUAUUUUCUCAUUGGCCGGCUGCAUCCCACACCAGCCUGAGCCCCAGACGGUCAGUCAGUGCAUCCAUCCUGACGACCUGUCCGGGAAGGAAGGAAGGAAGCUCCCUCUGAAACGCUGGCCCGGCGGCACCCAGACAGAAGCCUGCUGGCUAGCACGCAAGCACUCCCCAGAUUCUCUCAUGGUGACAAGGUGGCAGCUGCCGGGGUCCCAGAGUCCCAGCACAAGUGCCCAGAGGCCAGCCGGGAUGGGCCCUUGGGCAAGUCUCUGGAGGAGGCGGGCAACCCGCAGGGCAGACGGGGGGAAGAGGGUCCCCUGCUAACCUGGAGGAAAGUGGGGCGGUUACCCCCGCACCCCUCCAGGCUGCAGGUUCAGGAGGGCAGAGGUGCUGGCCGAGGAACUGGUGGCCAAAGUGAGAACCCCUGGUCCUAUCUGGACAGAACCCCAGGUUCCCAUGGGCCGGCCCAGGUCCCUCAGACAGCAAACACCUCCCUGGGCCACGAAAGGGAGAUGGCUGUGGGUGCCCAGGCCAGGACUCGCCCAGCUCAAGCCCCUUCUUCCCCAAGUCUGCUCGGCACGCACUGCGUGGGUUAUAUUGCUAAAGAACGGACACGCCGGGGUCUCCCUGAGCUCAAUGCGGGCCUCCUUCCCUCCCACACUCACACACGGCGCCUGGCCUGCGGGGUGGAGGGUUCUGUCCAUGGCUUCGUGGGGGCCCGGACCUUCCUCUCGGAGUUCCAGGAAGGGUGGCCCCAGAGGCCAUGCCAAGUGUCUCCUUCCCAACAAAUGCUCUCACCUGACGCCCCCACCCUGAACACGUCCUUUCGAUAAAUGAGGAAGCUGAGGCCCAGGGCAGGGAGUGAGGAGAGGAGCCACCCGGCCUCCCCAGGCCACCUCCUGCCUCCCAGUCCUCCACCUGCACCCAGUUCCCCAGGGAGGACCGGCCGGCCAUGGCAAAGCCUGGCGGGCCUGGGGGCCCAGCACCGAGCCCAGGAAACACCAGGCACUGGCUCAGGACUCAGGGCAGGGAGCUGGGCCGGGGUCAAGCAGGUGAGGCCCCUGGGAGCCGGGCUGGGGCCGAAGAGGCACAGGGGCCGGCGGGACAGGCUGGGAGGAGAGGAGCGCGGGGGAAUGGGGGUGUGCAGUGUGUCAGGGGUCGGGGAGGCAGGGGCCCUGCCAGCCCCCCACGAAGCAGAGGCUGUCAACGAUGACGUCAGACCCUGCAGUCGGAAAAGGGGAAGGCUGAGUGCUACGGCUCCCCGACAGCCCACUGUGGAGGGGACGGGUCACUGAGACCACAUGGGGGACAAAAUGCUCC
rnacentral:lncRNA from 1 species